GGAUUAGAUACCCUGGUAGUCCACGCUGUAAACGAUGAGUACUAGAUGUCCGAGGAAUCGACCCCUUGGGUGUCGCAGCUAACGCAUUAAGUACUCCGCCUGGGGAGUACGGUCGCAAGACUAAAACUCAAAGGAAUUGACGGGGGCCCGCACAAGCGGUGGAACAUGUGGUUUAAUUCGACGCAACGCGAAGAACCUUACCUGGGCUUGACAUCCCGUGCCAUCCUGUGAAAGCAGGAGUUCUCUUCGGAGACACGGUGACAGGUGCUGCAUGGCUGUCGUCAGCUCGUGCCG
rnacentral:rRNA from 1 species